UGAGUAAUACAUCGGAACGUGUCUUCUAGUGGGGGAUAACUGCCCGAAAGGGCAGCUAAUACCGCAUGAGACCUGAGGGUGAAAGCGGGGGAUCGCAAGACCUCGCGCUGGAAGAGCGGCCGAUGUCCGAUUAGCUAGUUGGUGAGGUAAAGGCUCACCAAGGCGACGAUCGGUAGCUGGUCUGAGAGGACGACCGGCCACACUGGGACUGAGACACGGCCCAG
rnacentral:rRNA from 1 species